UCUACAUGAUGACACCAUAUAUUUUUAUACUUUUCUUUCUGGCAUCUCUAAUGUUAGGGCAUCAAAUUGAUGUUCAAUGAAUACAACCAUUGACUUUGUCUGAAA
rnacentral:snoRNA from 1 species